UGAAACGGCUAGUUGGCGGAAGUCGCGAAGGGCGCGCCUCCCGUUCCUUCGGUAGGGGUCUCUCAACCAUGUGCCGGAGAGGAGGCCCACGAUCCAUGGCAACCUGAACAGCUCCGGCUUGGCAGGCUCCAUCGCACCUGCACCUAUAUUUAUAGCCAAACUGCGGCCCCCCGGUCGUUCCGAUGCGGGUGGCUCCAAUAAAUGCGGGCGCAUUGAAUCCGGAGCUGAUCCGGCUCUCGAGGCGUAUCUUCUCGCGAUUUCCUAAGCGUCAUUCUCCUUAAUC
rnacentral:lncRNA from 1 species